GGCGUGCCUAAUACAUGCAAGUCGAGCGAGCUGAAUUCAAAGAUCCCUUCGGGGUGAUUUGUUGGACGCUAGCGGCGGAUGGGUGAGUAACACGUGGGCAAUCUGCCCUAAAGACUGGGAUACCACUUGGAAACAGGUGCUAAUACCGGAUAACAACAUGAAUCGCAUGAUUCAAGUUUGAAAGGCGGCGCAAGCUGUCACUUUAGGAUGAGCCCGCGGCGCAUUAGCUAGUUGGUGGGGUAAAGGCCUACCAAGGCAAUGAUGCGUAGCCGAGUUGAGAGACUGAUCGGCCACAUUGGGACUGAGACACGGCCCAAACUCCUACGGGAGGCAGCAGUAGGGAAUCUUCCACAAUGGACGCAAGUCUGAUGGAGCAACGCCGCGUGAGUGAAGAAGGUUUUCGGAUCGUAAAGCUCUGUUGUUGGUGAAGAAGGAUAGAGGCAGUAACUGGUCUUUAUUUGACGGUAAUCAACCAGAAAGUCACGGCUAACUACGUGCCAGCAGCCGCGGUAAUACGUAGGUGGCAAGCGUUGUCCGGAUUUAUUGGGCGUAAAGCGAGCGCAGGCGGAAUGAUAAGUCUGAUGUGAAAGCCCACGGCUCAACCGUGGAACUGCAUCGGAAACUGUCAUUCUUGAGUGCAGAAGA
rnacentral:rRNA from 1 species